UACGAAGGGGGCUAGCGUUGCUCGGAAUCACUGGGCGUAAAGGGCGCGUAGGCGGCCAUUCAAGUCGGAGGUGAAAUCCCAGGGCUCAACCCUGGAAUUGCCUUCGAUACUGUUUGGCUAGAGACCGGAAGAGGUAAGUGGAACUGCGAGUGUAGAGGUGAAAUUCGUAGAUAUUCGCAAGAACACCAGUGGCGAAGGCGGCUUACUGGUCCGGUUCUGACGCUGAGGCGCGAAAGCGUGGGGAGCAAACAGG
rnacentral:rRNA from 1 species